CCUACGGGAGGCAGCAGUGAGGAAUAUUGGUCAAUGGGCGAGAGCCUGAACCAGCCAAGUCGCGUGAGGGAGUACUGCCCUAUGGGUUGUAAACCUCUUUUGUCGGGGAGCAAAAGCCGGACGUGUCCGGCUGUGAGAGUACCCUAAGAAAAAGCAUCGGCUAACUCCGUGCCAGCAGCCGCGGUAAUACGGAGGAUGCGAGCGUUAUCCGGAUUUAUUGGGUUUAAAGGGUGCGCAGGCGGAUUUUUAAGUCAGCGGUAAAAUCGUGGGGCUCAACCCCAUCCAGCCGUUGAAACUGGGGAUCUAGAGUGUGCGAGAGGUAUGCGGAAUGCGUGGUGUAGCGGUGAAAUGCAUAGAUAUCACGCAGAACCCCGAUUGCGAAGGCAGCAUACCGGUGCACAACUGACGCUCAGGCACGAAAGCGUGGGUAUCGAACAGGAUUAGAUACCCUUGUAGUC
rnacentral:rRNA from 1 species